rnacentral:lncRNA from 1 species
CAGAAGUCAAUCUGUGAGGAUCAUUAUUGUACUUUACUCAAAGUAAACAAACAAAAUGGCUUCCAGAACAAAGCUUGCCUCAUUCAGAUCUUGUUAUCUUUCUGAAUCUGAAAAAGCUGUGACACCACAGUUUCCAUCACAUUGUCGUCUUGGGGAAGUAUAUAGGAAUAUUGCAGACACAUAUUUUAUAAAACCUACAAAGGAAAAGCUUAAUUUCUAAAAAAUCUUUAGAACUCAUGUUUAAUGGCAGUGAACGAAGCGCACUGAAGAUUCUUUACAUGCUCUAUGUUCUCACGGAAUGCACGUGAUCACAAUCGCAGUUGUGAGUAUAACGUACUGUUUAAACAUAUGUGUAAAAAGUCAUAAAAACUGCUCGCGUAUUAAUGAGACGUUGCGUAUAUGUGAUUGCUUCCCUUAGUAAAUAUUUUAGGUACUCAGUCAGCCGUAAGCGAUUGACCUAAGGAAGUAUCACAAAGGUCCCGGAAUCGACUCCAGCCGGAAACACAAAUAUUUUUUUUUGUGUUGAAUCAUGCUCUCCAGUUACAUAUAAAUAAACAACACACGGCAACAUUAAUUUACACAUACCAGGAAUAUUAUUAUAUGUAUUAGUCAUGAUUACAUCUUUUACAGGGUAAAAUGAUCAUUUUCAUUUAAUAACGAUCAAUCGUUUAUUUGGUACAAAUGCAUGCCCUUGCAGACACAUGAUAUAUAUCGAAUAUAAUUUCAUCAUAGAGUCCAGGAUUAUUAAAAGCAACAGUUGUAUACAGCUGUUCAAAAGUAAUGAAUACAUAUAUGUAUUAUUUAUAUUUAUAUGUGUCAUUCAUAAAAGAAAACAUGUAUAAAUAAUUUACAUAUAUGUGUCAGUUAUAAAAAAAAAAAACAAACAAAAAACUUUGUCUUCAAGUUGCGUUCACGCUCGCCUAUUCUCACAAUGUACUAACGUCUUUGACAAAAGGCGUGCUAUUAAAACAUAAAUGUGAUCGAACAGAUGUAGAAAAAAAUACGACUGAAAUCAAUUAAAUAAAAAUAACAAUAAAAAUUGUUUACGCCAAAUGAGCAUUUCGUUUGCGUGCGUCUGCUUUACAUAUUUAUUCUAAUGAUUGAAAUUAUGUUGUUAGUCGUAGAAAAAAAGGUUAUAUAAAGAGUCUUUAUGUAGACGAAACGCGCGUCUGGCGUACUUAAUUAUAAUCCUGAUCCCUUUGAUAACUAUUUACACCACUGGGUAAAUGCCACAAUAAUGUGGUCAUUUUUAUAAAUUUCCUGUAUACAAGGAGGUUUUGACUAAUUCGGAUGUGUCUAUUUUUUGUGUUGGAUUUUGUCGGGUUAUGUAAUGUAUUUCGGUUGUUUCCUGUAAUUAGUUAAUACUUCAGUUUUAUCAUGUAUAUCUUUUAUAUAGUAUAAUAUUUACUGUAAGUAUAAAUUAUUCUAAACAAUAGUGAUGUUCUGGUACCUAACAGAAAACCCUGGCCGUUUUUGGCACAACUUUUUUGAACUUUUGGUCCACGAUGUUGUUCAUUUUUGUACUUGUUUCGGCUUUCAAACUUUUGUAUCUGGGCGUCACUAGUAUGUCUUGUGUGGACAAAAUGCACUUCUGGCGUAUUAAAUUUUAAACCUGUUGCCUUUUGUUAGCUAUUAUUCGUGUGUUUCUUUGUCAAUUGUGUUCUCCUAUUUAUUUGUAUUGUAGUCCUGUAAUAUUGUGUUGUCAUUUUAAUGUGAUAUUUCACAUGGCCAUAAAAGAGGGAGGUUUGGCAUGCCACAAAACCAGGUUCAACCCACCAUUUUUUUCUUUUAAAAAAUAUCCUAAACCAAGUCAGGAAUAUGGUCAUUGUUAUAUUAUAGUUCGUUUCUGUGUGUGUUACAAUUCAACGUUGUGUUUCUUUUGUGUCGUUUGUUUCCUCUUAUAUUUGAGUGUAAAUUCACAUUUUUAUAAGACGUGUCACGGUACUUUUCUAUCCCAAAUUCAUGUAUUUAGUUUCGAUGUUAUAUUUGUUAUUCGCAUCGGAUUUUGUCUAACGCUUAGUUCGUUUCUGUGUGUGUUACAUUUUAAUGUUGUGUCGUCAUUUUCUUGUAUUUAAUGCGUUUCCUUCGGUUUUGGUUUAUGACCAGGAUUUGUUUUUAUCUAUCGAUUUAUGAGUUUUGAUCAUCGGUAUACUAUUGUUGCCUUUAUUUAUCCACUCGUAUUAUAUUAAACAAGGGGUAGCCUGCGAAACCUUAUCCUGUUAAAAGAAGAGUGCCGAAAGAUACCAGAAGGACAGUCAAAUUCAUAGAUUGAAAAUAAACUGACUAUGUUAUGGCUAUCAAAUUUAAAGACAAAUAGACAAAUAAAAGUACAGAAGACACAACAUAGAAGACUUAAGACUAAGCAAGACGAACCCCACCAAAAAUUGCGGGUGCUCUCAGUUGCUUCUAUUCAUGUAACAAGACCUAAAUCAAGUAAAACCUGUCUGUAUAUACUAUAUACCCGCAAAGACACAAACAAAAAAGACACAAACUGAAUAUAGUUAUCAAAGGUACCAGGAUUAUAAUUUUGUACGCAAGACGCGCGUUUCGUCUACAUAAGACUCAUCAGUGACGCUCAUAUCCAAAUAUUUAUAAAGCCAACCAAGUACAAAGUUGAAGAGCAUUGAGGUUCCAAAAUUCCCAAAAGUGGUGCAAAAUACGGCUAAGGUAAUCUACGCCUGGGAUAAGAAAAUCCUUAGUUUUUCGUAAAAUUCAAAGUUUUGUAAACAGGAAAUUUAUAAAAAUGACCACAUUAUUGAUAUUCAUGUCAACAUCGAAAUGUUGACUACUGGGCUGUUGAUACCCUCGGGGACGAAACGUCCACCAGCAGUGGCAUCGACCCAGUGGUGUAAAUAGUUAUCAAAGGUACCAUGAUUAUAAUUUUGUACGCCAGACGCGCGUUUCGUCUACAUAAGACUCAUCAGUGACGCUCAUAUCCAAAUAUUUAUAAAACCAAACAAGUACAAAGUUGAACAGCAUUGAGGAUCCGAAAUUCCCAAAAGUGGUGCCAAAUACGGCUAAGGUAAUCUACGCCUGAACAUACAUUGAAUCACAUGUUAUCCCAGUCCUUACCUCUUUCCGUGAUGCAAAAGUUGCUAACAAUUUACUACUCAACUAUAUUAUUAUUUUUCAUUAUUAUUUUCAGAAUGAGAAUCAUUAGUUCUUAAACAAACGCAGAAACAUUGGGAUGUACGCUUAAAUCUGUUCAAUACUGAUAUUUUGUACAAACAAACCUUGACAGAAAAGCAGCAACGUUGAGGAUAUACAUUUACGUCCGUUCAAUACUGAUAUGCUGGUACAAAAUAACCUUGACAGAAAAGCAGCAACGUUGAGGAUAUACAUUUAAGUCCGUUCAAUACUGAUAUGCUGGUACAAAAUAACCUUGACAGAAAAGCAGCAACGUUGAGGAUGUACAUUUAAGUCCGUUCAAUACUGAUAUGCUGGUAAAAUCUAACCCUGACAGUAAAGCAGCAACGUUGAGAAAUUUCACCGAAAAGCGUUCAAACUUUUACAAAUCUUCGUGAAAUUGUAAAAUACAUUUUAUUAAUUCAGUUGAUGGAAUAAAUAUGUGAAAGCAAUUGCAUAUGUGAUACAUCACUGAUUUGUUAUAUUACUGAGAUGAAAUCACUUCAAUGUGUGAUUCAAAAUAGACAUUGCCUUAUGUUAUGUGUUUAAUCAUUAUUAUCUUGUCAAAUGAAACAGACGAUAUGCCAAUCAAAAUUAUUAACAAACACAUGUAAGAUCAUCUUUCUCCGAGGGAAUUGCAUUCUUAAAUUCUACCAGAAAGUUGCAUUAGAACUACAUUUGUAAAUCCGGCUAGUACUGUCUAAUAUUCGCAGUCUGUCUGUGAUAUGAUUCUUAGCUUUGUGAAUAAAAGUC